AUGACCAGAGAUUAUUUGGAUAAGAGAAACAUGGGAAAACCUUUGAUCUGUGAGUUUUGCACUGACAAUGAAAGCAUUGACCACCUCUUUUUUGGGUGUGUUGUAGCUAAAAACAUCUGGAAGGAUGUGUCUGCUUUCUUUAAAAUUCCUGUAGGGCAAGACUACCUAUCUGUAGCAAGAUUUUGGCCUGCUAGCAAGAAACAAUGUGCUUUGAAUUCCAUCUGUGCUUGUAUAUUGUGGGGCAUCUGGAAAACUAGAAAUGCACAUGUGUUUAAUAAUGCUAUCUGGUCUGAUAUUAAACAGGUUUGGAGACGUAUCCUCUUGAUGAUCAAGAAAUGGAUGAUCCUGUUCAAAAAGGAUUACCUCCCCCAGAUCGAGGCAUUCGUCCAGUGGGUCUCGGAGAUGCUCAAGAACCCCUUCCAGCUAUCGAUGGGGUGGCACGCCUGGACCCUGCAAGAGUGCUUGACAUGCUCUCCCUGGGUGAAGCCGAUGCAUUGA
rnacentral:rRNA from 1 species